rnacentral:rRNA from 1 species
GAUGAACGCUGGCGGCGUGCUUAACACAUGCAAGUCGAGCGAAGCAGUUAAGUUGAUUUCUUCGGAUUGAUUCUUAACUGACUGAGCGGCGGACGGGUGAGUAACGCGUGGGUGACCUGCCCCAUACCGGGGGAUAGCAGCUGGAAACGGCUGCUAAUACCGCAUAAGCGCACAGAGCUGCAUGGCUCGGUGUGAAAAACUCCGGUGGUAUGGGAUGGGCCCGCGUCUGAUUAGGCAGUUGGCGGGGUAACGGCCCACCAAACCGACGAUCAGUAGCCGGCCUGAGAGGGCGACCGGCCACAUUGGGACUGAGACACGGCCCAAACUCCUACGGGAGGCAGCAGUGGGGAAUAUUGCACAAUGGGGGAAACCCUGAUGCAGCGACGCCGCGUGAGCGAAGAAGUAUUUCGGUAUGUAAAGCUCUAUCAGCAGGGAAGAUAAUGACGG